rnacentral:misc_RNA from 1 species
GUGAAUCAUCAAAUCUUUGAACGCAAAUUGCGCUUCCUGGCAUCCCGGGAAGUAUGCCUGUUUGAGGGUCAGUAUUAACAAAAAAUCGGUUUGGUUGCAAAUUGUGACGUUUCCGGAGUUUGGGCUUAUCUUAACUUUUUUGGUUAAGGGGCUUAAAAUUGACCUUAUUUGCGCAUUUUUAGACGUACAUAAAUUUUUUUUUUAUUCUCUUAUUUUUAAUGCCAAAAUCUAUUUAGAGGCGUUA